UUACGAUGAUGACAAUCUUAGGACACCUUUGGAUUAUACAUGAAAACAAUGAUGUACUAUGCUGAGUGAC